rnacentral:rRNA from 1 species
CUACGGGAGGGCAGGCAGUGGGGAUAUGCCAUGGCGACUGAUGCCAGGCCAUGGCCGCGUGUGUGGAGGACGUCUUCGGGAUGUAAGCAACUUCAGGCAGUGGAGGAGCCGUUAUCGUAAUAGCCGGUUAUUGUUUUGACGUUAGCUGCAAGAAGAAGCACCGGCUAACUUCCGUGCCAGCAGCCGCGGUAAUACGGAGGGUGCGAGCGUUAAUCGGAAUUUACUGGGCGUAAAGCGCAUGCAGGGCGGUCUUGUUAAGCCAGAUGUGAAAGCCCGGGGCCUCAACCUGGGAAUCGCAUUUGGAACUGGCAGGCUAGAGUCUUGUAGAGGGGGGUAGAAUUUCAGGUGUAGCGGUGAAAUGCGUAGAGAUCUGAAGGAAUACCGGUGGCGAAGGCGGCCCCCUGGACAAAGACUGACGCUCAGAUGCGAAAGCGUGGGGAGCAAACAGGAUUAGAUACCCUGGUAGUCCACGCCGUAAACGAUGUCUACUUGGAGGUUGGUGUCUUGAACACUGGCUUUCGGAGCUAACGCGUUAAGUAGACCGCCUGGGGAGUACGGUCGCAAGAUUAAAACUCAAAUGAAUUGACGGGGGCCCGCACAAGCGGUGGAGCAUGUGGUUUAAUUCGAUGCAACGCGAAGAACCUUACCUACUCUUGACAUCCACGGAAUCCUGCAGAGAUGCGGGAGUGCCUUCGGGAACCGUGAGACAGGUGCUGCAUGGCGGUCGUCAGCUCGUGUUGUGAAAUGUUGGGUUAAGUCCCGCAACGAGCGCAACCCUUAUCCUUGUUUGCCAGCACUUCGGGUGGGAACUCCAGGGAGACUGCCGGUGAUAAACCGGAGGAAGGUGGGGACGACGUCAAGUCAUCAUGGCCCUUACGAGUAGGGCUACACACGUGCUACAAUGGCAUAUACAGAGGGCAGCAAGACCGCGAGGUGGAGCGAAUCCCACAAAGUAUGUCGUAGUCCGGAUUGGAGUCUGCAACUCGACUCCAUGAAGUCGGAAUCGCUAGUAAUCGUGGAUCAGAAUGCCACGGUGAAUACGUUCCCGGGCCUUGUACACACCGCCCGUCACACCAUGGGAGUGGGCUGCACCAGAAGUAGAUAGUAUAACGUACCAGAGUGCGCAUGCUAUAGUGUUGG